GCCGGCGCUCCGGCCUAAAGCCGCCCGGGCAGGCAGGGCCGGGGCCCGGGACGGCGCCUGCGGGGGAGGGCCCGCUCUCCCCGGAGCUUGCUGCCGCCGGGUGCUGCCUUUGGUCAAAAAGACUGAAGACAUCACUUUUCUGCUCUGACUUCCUCCUGUGAACAUUUAACCAAGCAACCUUUCUCAGAAGUAUUUUCUCGUGCCAUGCAAGCUAGAAGGUGACUGGAGUUUCAGAAGCAGAUGAAAAGGAGCAUUAUCCACUUUCUUCCUAAAGAAGGUAUUUCUUCAGCUGACCUUGUCUUGAAGAAACAUUCAGCUCUGGAUUGUUUGUGUUUGUGGAGCAGAAAAAUCGUAAUUUAUGUG